UGAAAUGCCUCUCAGAUUUCAAUACCAAAUCAUAUUUGGAUGACAAACUUUGGAAUUGCAUAGCUACAUGACUCAAAAAUGAAAUCUGACUACAAAUGAAUUUAUAGCAAUAAACAUAAAAUAAAUAUUCUAAAAAUGCACCAGGAAAACGCAAAUGGCCAUACAAUGACAACAAUAUUUUCUUACGAUAACAUAACACAAAUUUAAUACAAUAACAAACAGCACAUACUCUCAAAUAUGGUCUCGUACAGGACAUAAAUCACAAUCAUUCAAAUGGAUAGGUCCAAAUGCUUAACAGAAACAGUGCGUGGCAGUAGUACAUAAAUUGUUCCAAGUUCAAUAGGGCAUAAAAUAGAUAGUUCGAUGUUCAAUAAGACAUACAAGAACACACACAUAUCAGAAAAGCAUCAAGCUUCAAGGCACCAUUAGCAGCCAUGUCUUCCUCAUGGUGACGGGCAGCUCCUUUAGAGCUUGAAACAGACGAUCAUUGAGUACCAACUUCCCAUAACAUCGAAGCAUGUCUUCCUCGGCCAAAUCAGGUAUCAAGCUAAGUGCAUCAAGUAUUUCAACGGGAUUAGCUGCUUUGGUAUGGGUUGAAAAAAGGACUUACCAGACCUGCUUUAGAGGGGAGGGACAGACCUGCACCACCACUGGCCGCCGUGGUGGUCGCCCCCGCCGCCGGCCGCCUGGUUGCCUGCUAGGUCGGCUCUUGUUCGCCCCUCCCGUUCCCCUUCUGGCUGGCUUCCUUUUCUAUUUCGCGGGCCGAAGCGGUAUGUUUUGCGAGAGAGUGAUUUCGGACCAAUUCUGAGGGUCGCCCCUUCGAAACGUGGGAGGCAGUUUUUAAUUGAGAGGAGUACAUAUUUGAAACGAGUGGCGUGUGAAAGACGUGUGAAAAACCUUUUACACCGAAACACACACANNNNNNNNNNNNNNNNNNNNNNNCUAAGUAG
rnacentral:lncRNA from 1 species